UGCAUGGCUGUCGUCAGCUCGUGUCGUGAGAUGUUGGGUUAAGUCCCGUAACGAGCGCAACCCCUAUCCCUAGUUGCUAGCAGUUCGGCUGAGAACUCUAGGGAGACUGCCGGUGACAAACCGGAGGAAGGUGGGGAUGACGUCAGGUCAUCAUGGCCCUUACGGCCAGGGCUACACACGUGCUACAAUGGUGCGCACAGAGGGCUGCAAACCCGCGA
rnacentral:rRNA from 1 species